AUGAUGAUGAUGAUGAUGAGGCUACCGGUUCUGAAGCCGGUAGCGAGGAGGAUUCUGAGCCUUUGGAGGGCUAAGUUUUUAUUUUUUUAUUGUUAUGUUUUAUUUUGAUUGUAUUUCCAGAAUUCUGUAUUUUAAUUUUGGUUUUGUACUUUUGGGGUGUUUUGUCCCCCACGAACAAAUUUAAAUUUUGAAGUUUAUAUUAUUAUUUCUGUUU
rnacentral:lncRNA from 1 species